GGACCCGGAUGCAUGGGUCGGAUCUGCCUCCGGAGCAGAAGGCCGCAGGUUCGAAUCCUGCCGGGGGCACCA
rnacentral:tRNA from 1 species